rnacentral:rRNA from 1 species
GCUACUGAAUCACUGCGUAGUACAAAUAUCAGUGAUAUGGUAAGAGAGAAGUUUGAUGUUAUCUUACUAUUAGUGUCGUCUAAUAGACUGGUGCCAGAAGACUCGGUAAGGCCAGAGACGCUAACGUUAAUCAUCUUAAACAGGCGUAAAGGAUAAGUAGGCAGCUUGAAAAAAAUAUAUAAAAAUAAAAAAUAUUAAAGUAAAGCUUGAAUUUGAUAGAUGUUGAACCAUACAAUGCUUAGAUAAUGAUUGAAAUCAUAAAAAUCUAUGUGGAGUUCUAACGGCGAAAGCUUAUCAACAAUAAAUGAUUGACGCUGAGAAAUGAAGGUUUGGAUAGUAAAACAGAUUAGAUACCUGAGUAGCCCAAACUGUCAACAAUGAAUGGUAGUCAUUAGAAAAAUUCUAUAUGAUCAACGCUAACGCAAGUAACCAUUCCGCCUUGUGAGUACAAUUGCAAUAUUGAAAACAAAAAAAUGAGUCGUCUCGAAGCA